UAAUGUCUGGGAAACUGCCUGAUGGAGGGGGAUAACUACUGGAAACGGUAGCUAAUACCGCAUAACGUCNCAAGACCAAAGAGGGGGACCUUCGGGCCUCUUGCCAUCAGAUGUGCCCAGAUGGGAUUAGCUAGUAGGUGGGGUAAUGGCUCACCUAGGCGACGAUCCCUAGCUGGUCUGAGAGGAUGACCAGCCACACUGGAACUGAGACACGGUCCAGACUCCUACGGGAGGCAGCAGUGGGGAAUAUUGCACAAUGGGCGCAAGCCUGAUGCACCCAUGCCGCGUGUGUGAAGAA
rnacentral:rRNA from 1 species